rnacentral:lncRNA from 1 species
AAGAUUAAACACUUUAAUUUAAUUUACAUACAUAAAAUCUAAUUUAGACUACCAUACCAAGAUCUAUGAUAUGAUUUAAUAUGACAUAAAAAUUUAAAAAUAAAAAUCAGCAUCGAUCACAUUGAUCUCUACAUUAAAUCUAACCCUUAGAUCUAAUGAAAACUGAUCUAACAAGUUCAGAAACCAUUACUGAACUAUAAUUUGCUAAUAUUUACUAGUCUAUCACAUGGAUAGGUACUCCUUCAGAUUACUUACAGCCACACAAAGGUAUCCGAUCUCUACAGAUCAUCCACACAAAGAUCGAUUAUAGAUCAGGCUCC